rnacentral:rRNA from 1 species
AUUGAACGCUGGCGGCAGGCUUAACACAUGCAAGUCGAGCGAGCGGCGGACGGGUGAGUAAUGUCUGGGAAACUGCCUGAUGGAGGGGGAUAACUACUGGAAACGGUCGCUAAUACCGCAUACCCUCAGAUGUGCCCAGAGGGGAUUAGCUAGUAGGUGGGGUAAUGGCUCACCUCGGAGACGAUCCCUAGCUGGUCGGAGAGGAUGACCAGCCACACUGGAACUGAGACACGGUCCAGACUCCUACGGGAGGCAGCAGUGGGGAAUGUUGCACAAGGGGCGCAAGCCUGAUUCAGCCAUGCCGCGGGGGUGAAGAAGGCCUUCGGGUUUUAAAGCACUUUCAGCGAGGAUGCGUUACUCGCAGAAGAAGCACCGGCUAACUCCGUGCCAGCAGCCGCGGUAAUUC